UUUAUUUGCUUUGUUACAGAAGAAAUAUCUUUCGAAUUUCUGCAUGCCAUCUUACGAGAUUUAAACUGAUGAUCUAUAAUCCGGAAUUGCCGAAGUCCCGACGAGUCCGGAUUAACGACUUUUGACUGUAGAAGCAAAGCUAUGAUGGACCUUUUAAGCUUGGUGAAUGCUGUACAAAGCUUCAGGGUUGAUGGGAAUUACUGGAGUUCCAACGUCACUGAGUUUCUUUGAGAUCCGCUUCUGAAGCUAGUAGUUUGCUGAGUUCCGUUGCCACUCCUCAGCCAACUUGAUGUUUGAAGGCCAAUAAAGAGAUUUCGUCAACAUUAUGACUCUGAAGUUAAUGGUGUUCUACACAGAGGUAAUCAGAAGUCAUCCAAGUCCACUAUUAUUAAACAAUGGAAUAUGCAUGGUUUUUGGUUCGUCGAGCCAGAGCUUCAGGAAGAUUGGAUAAAAUUGGUGCUGAAAGGACAACGUCAUGCAGAUGUUCCAGUCACCCAAAUAGUUGUGUCAGAGCAACUUGCAAACAUAUUCUGCAAAUGCUAUGUUGAACUGCUUCAAUGAGCUUCAGAAAUGCUAGAAACUGUAUAUCAAUUUUCAAGGCAGCUAUUUCGAAGAGGCAAUAAUUAUAAGUAUGUCAGUUUUUAAACUUUUUUAGCAACAGUUCCAUGACUUCUUGGACAUGGUAUGUCAAUACUACACAGAAUUUUCUUAUCCAUUUUUGUGCAAUUCAUUUAAAGAUAAAUUUGCUUUUAAAGUAUUUUACCUACGAAAAUAUUAAUAAAGAUUUUCAUUUGACUGUACACAAAGUGAAGAAAUGCAUAAAUCACACAUAACUAAUUAUUAAAUACUUCAAAAUUAUUUUUUUAUGAAUGCAAAGUAAGCAUUCAUAUACUUUGAGCACAUGAAUAGG
rnacentral:lncRNA from 1 species